CAGAGGGUGCAAGCGUUGUUCGGAAUUAUUGGGCGUAAAGGGAGUGUAGGCGGUUCUGCAAGUCUUCUGUGAAAUCUACGGGCUCAGCCUGUAACGUGCAGAGGAAACUGCAAGACUUGAGUGUCGGAGAGGAUAGUGGAAUUCCCGGUGUAGAGGUGAAAUUCGUAGAGAUCGGGAGGAACACCAGUGGCGAAGGCGACUAUCUGGCUGACAACUGACGCUGAGACUCGAAAGCAUGGGGAGCAAACAGGAUUAGAUACCCUGGUAGUCCAUGCCGUAAACGAUGAUAACUAGAUGUGGGAGGUAUUGACCCCUUCCGUGUCGCAGCUAACGCGAUAAGUUAUCCGCCUGGGAAGUACGGCCGCAAGGUUA
rnacentral:rRNA from 1 species